rnacentral:rRNA from 1 species
GAUGAACGCUGGCGGCGUGCUUAACACAUGCAAGUCGAACGAUGAAGCCCAGCUUGCUGGGUGGAUUAGUGGCGAGCGGGUGAGUAACACGUGAGUAACCUGCCCUUAACUCUGGGAUAAGCCUGGGAAACUGGGUCUAAUACCGGAUAGGAGCGUCCACCGCAUGGUGGGUGUUGGAAAGAUGUAUCGGUUUUGGAUGGACUCGCGGCCUAUCAGCUUGUUGGUGAGGUAAGGGCACACCAAGGCGACGGCGGGUAGCCGGCCUGAGAGGGUGACCGGCCACACUGGGACUGAGACACGGCACAGACUCCUCCGGGAGGCAGCAGUGGGGAAUAUUGCACAAUGGGCGCAAGCCUGAUGCAGCGACGCCGCGUGAGGGAUGACGGCCUUCGGGUUGUAAACCUCUUUCAGUAGGGAAGAAGCGAAAGUGACGGUACCUGAAGAAGAAGCACCGGCUAACUACGUG